rnacentral:rRNA from 1 species
GACAGAGGUGCCGGGCGUUAGGCGGAAUCACUGGGCUUAAAGCGUGUGUAGGCGGACUUCUAAGUACCUUGUGAAAUCCCACGGCUCAACCGUGGAACUGCUUGGUAUACUGGUCGUCUUGAGCCAUCUAGGGGCUGUCGGAACAAAUGGUGGAGCGGUGAAAUGCGUAGAUAUCAUUUGGAACGCCAAAGGUGAAAACAGACAGCUGGGGAUGUGCUGACGCUGAGACACGAAAGCCAGGGGAGCGAACGGG